rnacentral:snoRNA from 1 species
AAACCAUGGUGAGGGCACCUUAUCAGUAAGGCCUUGUAUCUUUCCCAUGCAUAAUAGAGGGUUUCUAAAUCCAUCUACACAAAAGAAGAGAUAUCAUUACAUAAUUU